GUAUAGGCGAUAGAAAAGUCCACCUACUUGGCGCGAUAGAGACUUGUACCGCAAGGGAAAGAUGAAAUAAUAAUGAAAACCCAAGCAAUAAACAGCAAAGAUAAACCCUUGUACCUCUUGCAUCAUGAUUUAGCGAGAACAACCAAGCAAAACGAAUUUAAGUUUGUCCCCCCGAAACCCAAGCGAGCUACUCACAAGCAGCUAUCCCUGAGCGAACCCGUCUCUGUAGCAAAAGAGUGGGACGACUUGUUAGUAGAGGUGAAAAGCCAACCGAGCUGGGUGAUAGCUGGUUGCCUGUGAAAUGAAUCUAAGUUCUCUCUUGACUCUCCCCUAAUGGACACCCCAUCAACCGACAUGUAAUGAAUCAAGAGCUAUUUAAAGGGGGUACAGCUCCUUUAAAAAAGAAUACAACCUCCCCUAGCGGAUAACAGCCUGAUUAUACCCCAACAUGUAGGCCUUCAAGCAGCCACCAACAAAGAGUGCGUCAAAGCUCUCCACCUAAAAAAUCCAAAAACACUAAGAUUCCCUUCACAUUAACAGGCUAACCUAUGACUAUAGGAGAAUUCAUGCUAAAAUGAGUAACUAGGGACCUCCCCUCUUGAGCGCAAGCUUACACAUCAUGUUAUUAACAGAUUACGGUUAAUACCUAAAUUCUAACAAGACUGAGUAUUAAAUCUACCCUGUUAACCCAACCCAGGUGCGCCUAUUAGAAAGAUUAAAACCUGCAAAAGGAACUCGGCAAACCCAAGGCCCGACUGUUUACCAAAAACAUAGCCUUCAGCAAACCAAGUAUUGAAGGUGAUGCCUGCCCAGUGACAUCACGUUUAACGGCCGCGGUAUCCUAACCGUGCGAA
rnacentral:ncRNA from 1 species